AGCGAACGCUGGCGGCAGGCCUAACACAUGCAAGUCGAACGAACCUUUCGGGGUUAGUGGCGGACGGGGGAGUAACACGUGGGAACGUGCCUUUAGGUUCGGAAUAACUCAGGGAAACUUGUGCUAAUACCGAAUGUGCCCUUCGGGGGAAAGAUUAAUCGCCUUUAGAGCGGCCCGCGUCUGAUUAGCUAGUUGGUUGAGGUAAUGGCUCACCAAGGCGACGAUCAGUAGCUGGGCUGGGAGGAUGAUCCGCCACAUUGGGACUGCGACACGGCCCAAACUCCUACGGGAGGCAGCAGUGGGGAAUCUUGCGCACUGGGCGAAAGCCUGACGCAGCCAUGCCGCGUGAAUGAUGAAGGUCUUAGGAUUGUAAAAUUCUUUCACCGGGGACGAUAAUGACGGUACCCGGAGAAGAAGCCCCGGCUAACUUCGUG
rnacentral:rRNA from 1 species